rnacentral:lncRNA from 1 species
GAAGACCUGUUACCCUGAUCUUGGUAUCAUAUUCCAGGCCUAGGAAACUAAACUGGUAAAGACAAGCAAACUCCCUAUUUCAGACAUCAGGCCUGGGAAUAGACUGUUUGUAAAAUGGUACCUGAAGAAUAUAAUGAUUUCAGCAGCUGUGCUUUGGGUGAACUUUCUUCCCUCCGAUUUUGGCUAAUAUCUUGAUGGCUUUUUUACAGCUUCUGAUACCACAGCUCAUUAGCACUUAGUGAAAACAUCUAUACUGAAUUCUUACCUUCCUGAGUCUAACUUAACUUCUGGUGACUUGGGGGUGAAGAGAGAGGGGGCUGACAAUAUUUAAUUUGGAAUGGGCUGAGAUAUAUUUUUGUGGGUAGAUAUUUUUCUCUGCAGGAUUGACCACCUAAAUGUUCAAGAGCUACAAAUGAAGAAUGACAUGCUUCCCAUGCCAUUGGCAAGGCCUCAAGGGUCUCAAUAAAGCAUCACUUAAUAUUCAUGAGGUUUCUUUCAUGCAUGCCCUCCUUAGUCUCAGGCUACAGAGCGGGUUAGGUGGAGGUGCUUAUGAAGUACUCUCUGAUGAACAGAAGCAUAAAUCUUGAGUUUAAUUAGUAAUGCUAUUCAGCUCCAAGACGAGCUGACAUGCCCUUUGUAGGGCUUUGAGUUGGUAAAGCCAGGGGAUCAAUAUCACUUUAAAGGUUGUUUCUCUCUGUUCACACAUAGAGCACAACAAAGGAAAGAAUUCUUCUAGGAAACAGCAGAGAGAUCAGUUUCUUCAAAAGUGGGUGAAGAUGUAGACAAUGACCAUUUUUCACAACAAACAUCAGCAGAACAAUUUUGUGUUUUAAACACAGAUUUAAUGGGUGGGUUUGUGUGAAUGUGUGCAUUUGGCAAAGUUCUCAAGAGCUGUUCUUUCUUCAUGGGGGAAGAAAAGAAACUCUCAGCAAAGGCCAAGGAAACUAUUUCAGCUAAGAAAGGAACUGCAAUGGUUUGUAAUGUAACUCAUGAAAUAAUUGUAGCCAGAGCCAGAAAAUGCAGUCAUUGGGAAAGCCUCAGUAAGAAUAAGACUGUGAGGGGCCCCAGACAGCUGUGCUUUCAUCUUUACCAUCUCUACUACAGGAAAAUGACCUUACAACGACUUUCAAGACCUAUAUUUCUUUAUGAAAGAAACUAUUAGCGGGAAUAAGAAAAUUAUAGACGGGGCCUAAAAAUGGAAUAGAAGAGGAAGUUCUUUUGAGUUUACUUAGAAAGAAAAUAAUUAAACUCCUUUGAAAUUAUCUUUUAUCUUAAAGUACAAAAGAGGCCCUUGGGGAGGGAAGAGACCAUAAGCAGGACACAUGGUCAGAUCAGGCCUUCACAGGCCAAUUGCUGAAACAGAUGAAAUUAAAAGCCAUUGAUUUAAUUAGGUCACCUUAGCACUUUGAUCAGGGAGACCAUUUACCAAGUGUGACGUUGCUCGAUAUUUGGCUAUUACAACAGAAAGAAGAAAAGACGGAUCAGUGGUUGAAGAAGCGCUCAUGGAUAUGCACAGAGACAAAGUGUAUAAUGAGCAAGUAUCCCAGGGUUCUUUGCCUCGUGACCAAGAAAAUUAAGGAGCGUGGACACAAAGGGUGAGGUUGGAAUGAAUGUUUAAUAAGCAAAAGAAGAAAGCUCCCAACCAAGGAGAGAGGGCCCAAAACAGGGUUGCCAACUAUGAGGCUGAGUCCAGGGUAUGAAUGGACUGGGAAGGGGAGGAAUGUGCUGACUGGUCUGCAGGCUGUUUUGGAGAAAGCACCACUUAGAAAGAGGUAUCAUAGUGUAAAGAACCAAUUGGAGGCAAAGGCGAAGGUUUGGCUUGGGACCUUGGCCUGGGACCAAUCAGAGGCUGAAGUGAUGACUCAACCUAUGUAAAUGAAGACUUAGCCCACUGCCAAUUACAGAAAGGUAGGCAUAUGUAAAAUAGGUGAAAAGUAAGAAACCAGUAGGUGAAAAUAAGUGACUAAGGCAUGCCAAGGAGAGAGAAACAUGUCCAAAUAGGGGUAGAAUUUGUUCAUCUGGGUUUACCGAGUAAGUGUUUCCAUUCAAGGAUGCAGUCUCUUUCUUAUCUGGGGCCCGCAGUUUGAUUUUCAGGCUGUUCUUUGUUUGAAUGAAUUUUUACCAGGGACUCACCCUAACUGCCUGCCUGACUGGUUUCUUACUUUCUCCUCUCUCAUUAAGAGAGUUUAGGACCCUACAAAUAUUUCCCAAAUAACCAUUUAUAAAGGAAUAGAGACAUUGUGCAUUUGCUUUUCCCCGGCUAUAAGAAGGUAGUUAAGGCAAGACACUGGUACUUAGACAAAAGAGAGAGAGAAGAGGAGAAAGGGGAAGAAGAGGAGAGAGGAAAGAAGGAAAGAAAGGGUUGAGGGUGGGGAAAAGAGAGAACUAUAAAUUCUUUCUUAAAUUUCAGCUAGGGCUAGUAAAUUUUCUUUUUUUGAAAACUGAAUAAUUUUAUUUGCAGAAUUAAUGGCAAGAUUUUUGCUUUGUAAAAAGGGCCAGCCUACAUAGAUACUUAAUUUAUAACCUGGAACUGAGAGGCCUUUCCUGAACAACUCUAUCUAAAAUAUUUCACCCUCUCCCAUCCUUGGUCCUCCACCAUAAUCCACUGCCCCAUGAUGUGUUUCAUUGUUUUCACCAGGCACUUGGCACCACCUAACAUUACAUGACGGUGCUUAUGUGUUUGUUGAUUGUUGGUCUUGCACCCAGAAUACCAGCUCCAUGAGGCCAGGUGUGCUGUGUGCUGGUUCACCAGCACCAGGUAGACCGUGGGCAUCAAGGUUCAUGUGAACAGGGGAACCCAGCAAGGCUGGACCCCUGCAGUGGUGAUUUCUCCUGAAAGGCACGUGGAUGGGUGGUGUUGACCAAACAGCUGUGAUUACAUUUUCUCUCAGGAAGUCUGAAUCCAGGACACUUACUUACUCAAAGGCAAUUCUCUCCAAAAAUUACUUUUUUGUGAAAACCUGUUUCAGGGCUUGAUUCACAUGUUGUUCGUGGCAGAGAAUGAAGUGUCUCUUUUCUCUUCCUUAGUGCUGUGUUUUCUUCCUAUGAAAAGAAAAAAAGAAAAGACUCCAGAUGGAGAGCCUCAAAUUGUCGGCAGAUUUGAAACUCCCCUGGAAUUUGUAUUGGUGAUGCAGAGUUUGGUGCAGACUGACAAUACGCAGCUGUGAUUCUUUUAAACAACACUGGACUCUAGGUGACCAUCAUGCUUCCUGGGGGCAGCUGCACACAAGUCAGUAUAAAGCGGAGAAAGUAACACCAGUAGGUUAAGGUGAGUAAAAUCCCCCCUCUCUUUGGUCUUCUGAUAAUUCAGCAGUAACUGUCACCUAGGUUUUGGUAUUUCUCCUUCAUACGUACAAGUAGCAUGUGUUACUCUUUAAGACAAAAUUCUGGGGAUGAGGGGAGAGAUAUUCUCUUUUCAACAUUUGUCUGGUGCCAUUUCUGUAUAUGAUCUGUGACUAAAGCCCAGUCCUGUGGCUGGGUAAGUGUCCUAAGGCUGGGCCCUCAGGACACCACUUCCCUCCCAGACCUACAUCCUAGCCAGCAGGGUCUCCGCCAGCAGUGCACAUCUGUGAAUGUGGCCCAGGGAGGAGAGGGUUGCCCUUCCAAAUGCUGCCUUUGUGGACAGCUCGCCACUCCUCUUGGGUGAUGCCAAAGCCUGCCACUGAGCUCAAGUUUCCCCCACUGCAAUAUGAAACACUGCCUUUAGGUGCCUGGUGCUGUGUCUGCUGUUUUGAAAAUGAAAAUAUUUGCUUCUAACUCCAUCUACCAUCUGUUUGUAACCUUUACGCCUAUCCAUAUGCCAGCUUGAAACUGCCACUGUAGCCUUUGGGUCUCCCUGGACUUUCACAACAGACUAGACACCAUAUCCUCUUAGAAUGGUUUGGACAGCCAAGAGCCAUUGUCAUGAGCUGUUCACCACCACAAGCACAGUCUACUUUUUUAAAGGGCUGCAGUUGUGUGUCACUUCCAAGCUACCAUGGGGAGGACCAAGAAAGAGAAACAAAGGAUUAGAAAGUAAAAUAUGAGAACAUAACAAACCUAUGGAAUUCACUACAUCUUUCAGAACAUUACUGGCUAGACUAAAAAAAAAAUUGUGCAUGCUAUCAAAGAAAGUAAAUGGAAAAAGUAAUACCAAAUUUGUUUGAUAUUUCAAGAUAACAGUGACACAGCAAAAGAGGAAGACCCUAUUUAAGAAGUGGUACAACCCAUGGGAAUUUAAAAACAGGUGAGGAUAUGUAAUAUUUGACAACACUAUCUCCAAGAAGAAACAAGACUCUAAGCAAUGCAAUAAUGAUAUUGUUUCGGAUGUGAAUAAAGUAGGUCUAGCCUAAAUGCAGGUGUCACACGCAAAUAUUCACUUGUGGGUAGUAGGCAUCUUAGCAAUGAGAACAAUAGGAGAUGUUUAGUUCUGGCAUAGAUAGAGGUCCCUGGUUGCCAAGCUAGUUGUUCAUGAUCAUUACUUAUUAUUUCUUGCUUACCAAGAAAAUUAUCAAAAUAUGAGUUUGCUCUGUGAUUUAGUCAGGGUUUGCCAGAGAGACAGAACCAAUAGGAUAUGUAUAUAUAUAGAAAGAGGGGAAAAUGAACUUAUUAGGGGAAUUAGUUCACUUGAUUAUGGAGGCUGAGAAGUCCCAUGAUAGGCUGUCAGCGAGCUGGAGAAUGAAGGAAGCCAGCAGUGUGCUCAGUCCAAGUCUGAAGACCUUAGAACCAAGGAAGACAAUGGUGUAAAUCUCAGUUCAAGGCGAAAGGUCCAAGAGCCCAAGGGUCCACUGGUGUGAGUGCUGGGGUCCAAAGAUGGGAGAAUCUGGGGUCUAACCUCCAUGGGCAGGAGAAUAUGGGCAUCCUGGCUCUGGAAGAGAGAGUAAGAAGUCAUCCUUCCCCUCCCAUUUUGUUCCAUCUAGGCCCUCAGCCAACUGGAGAGUGCCUACUCACAUUGAAGGUGGAUAUUCUCCACUCAGCCCACUGACUUACAUGCCAGUCUCCUCUGCAAACGUCCUCACACCUCGGGCAGCCCAAUCAUUUAACCAAACUCCAAGUCACCUGGCUUUGAGGAACAAGUUCAGUGCCUACUGAAGUAGUAAGAAUAAAUAAUGUUUUGCCAGCUAUCUGGGUGUCCCUUAAUCUGGUCAAGUUGAUACCCAAAACCAACCAUCACACCCUGGCACAAAGCAAGCUGGGACCUCAAUACCCUGUGUCACUGGGGAGGACUUAAGAGUUUUAAGUCUAGAUUUGAUGGGGCAGUACUGAAAGAGAGAAGGGACUAAUGACUAAUCCAGUCAACCCUUCAUGAGCAACUGAAUUGUCAGAGGUACAAUGUAGAGAGGGCAUGAAAUGUGCAGAUGGAAUUCAGCAACCCUGGUGCAGAGGAGUCCGUGGUAGGAAUCCAGGAAUCAAGUAACAAACAAAUAUAGCAAGUGGCACCACAUUUCUAGGCAUAUAAAGAAAUAAUAACACCUAGAAUUUGUAAACAAUUUGCUAAGCUCAGGGCUAAGGGCGUCACAAAUCUUGUGAAGCUAGCCAGUGAGAGAGGUACUAUUUUUAUCCCCCAUUUCUAGAUGGAUAAAUUGCAGUUCA